GCAAUAAAGCUCAAUGAUAUUCAUUUGAGUUUUUAAACAUACCACAUACACAAAGGGAAGACAGUAUCCAGAAUAUCAAAUAAUUUUUCAGUCUAGGUAUAUGUAAAAUCCACCAUUAGGCAAUUAAACACUGCCAGACGACUCUUCCAUGAUCAAGUUGAAGUAGAACUUGACAGGGGAACAAAAGAUAACUGUUCCCGUUGAAUUGCAAAACUACUUUGUGCAAACAAAUUGUAAUUAAGUGCAGUUGGGUACACCUUUCUUUUAGGGUACACCAAUUUCAUGGAUUUGUAAAAACCUGUCAUUAAAUUACUGAAAUCAAUAGUAUUCCCACAAUGAAUGAGAAUUUAAAAAAUAUGAGUGAUCUUCAGCCACCAAAAAGGAAUCCAGCAGCUUGUUCUUCAUUCCCAUCAAAUAAUUUAAGAGCUUGUACCACAGAAUCCCUUCCAAAACCUAGCUCAACAAGCUUUGCAACUUUGGCCUCAAAAUCAGGUCUCUGCAGGGAAAACAAAUUUUACUGGACACAUCAGUAUACAAAAAUUAAAAUUCAAAUUGGCCAUUUUGAUUGUCCAAGAGGUUCAACGCAAUCAAAUAGAUUGCUGAGGUAUGCUACCAACUUGAAAGGCAGCAUAAUAAUACAAAUAGUUUCAAAAGGUAAAAGUUUACCCAUUUGUACAUUUUCUACUACUUCUAAAGUUGUUUACUAGGGUUGAGCAUUAUUUGGUUUAAGUUGAAACACCAAACUGAACCGCGAUUCAGUGGGAUUUUGAUUUCUACAAUUUUUGGUAUAUUCAAUUCAAUUUGAUUUUCAAAGUUCAAAAUCGGAAUAAUUGAACCGAACUCAAAUUUACUAAAGGGCUGUUGCUUUAGCAUGAACAAACCAUCUGAUAUGGUUCCAGUCUAGUUCUUAAUGAAGAACAUAAAACAAACCAAAAAAAGUAAAAUAAGUUCAAUUCGAUAUGGUUCUGAUUGGUUCGAUAUAGUUCUGAUCGAUUAGAUACAGUUAUUCAGUUCGGGUCGAAACGCCCAAGAACUAUGCACACCCCUACUCACAAGUCACACCCUUGGUCCUCCAACAUGCACCUAACUACCUCAAAGACCUGAUGUCUCUCAAGUGAAAUACAUUCUCGCAUCUCACUGCCACUCUUCUUCGUAGUCAACUUUUGAGUUCUCAGCCUCUAGUUUUUCAUCUCUAGUCUCUACCGUUUUAGGUAUUAAAGAAUAACGACUUGGGUUAUUGUGCUGAAGUUUGGGGUAAUUAUUUCCGUAAUUUUAUUGGUAUUGAAUGGUUGAAGAUCUGAAAUGUUGUGUGUUCUUCGAUUUGUUGGAUAUUGCAAUUUGUUAGUUUGACCGAAAAUCAUUCAUUAAAUCUGCUGGGUGUUAAAUCUUUUCUUUUUGGAGUACUUGUAUUAUGUGGAAUUGAAAAUUUUAGGUAUUUGAUUAAAAGUUAGAUUGGAUUGAAGGUGUAUUUCCAGCCUUUGAACCAAAAAACCUUGGUACGGUUAAGUUUACUCUCUGAGAUCAAUUACAUUAGGUUUAUGAUAUUUGGAAAUUUGAUUGUUCAGCUUUUUCAUUUCAAUUUGAACCAAACCCCUAUGUUUACUGUUAGGAGGUGUCUGGUACGAGGUUAACAAUUGGUAAGUAUUAUUCUUAUAACGUUUAACCUCUCAUGUAUGUUGUUUAGACAUGUUAACUUUUCACCUCAUAAAUAUUUAUACCUUUUUGAGAGGUUAAAUGUUAACCUUAGAGGACUAAGUUAAUAAUUACCAUCUUUAAAUAUUAAAACUUACAAGAAUAGCAUUUCACCCUUAAUUUUUUAACCUUCUACCA
rnacentral:misc_RNA from 1 species